rnacentral:rRNA from 1 species
GGUUAAGCGACUAAGCGUACACGGUGGAUGCCCUGGCAGUCAGAGGCGAUGAAGGGCGUGCUAAUCUGCGAUAAGCGCCGGUAAGGUGAUAUGAACCGUUAUAACCGGCGAUACCCGAAUGGGGAAACCCAGUGUGAUUCGUCACACUAUCAUUAACUGAAUCCAUAGGUUAAUGAGGCGAACCGGGGGAACUGAAACAUCUAAGUACCCCGAGGAAAAGAAAUCAACCGAGAUUCCCCCAGUAGCGGCGAGCGAACGGGGAGGAGCCCAGAGCCUGAAUCAGCAUGUGUGUUAGUGGAAGCGUCUGGAAAGGCGCGCGAUACAGGGUGACAGCCCCGUACACAAAAGCGCAUGUGCUGUGAGCUCGAUGAGUAGGGCGGGACACGUGGUAUCCUGUCUGAAUAUGGGGGGACCAUCCUCCAAGGCUAAAUACUCCUGACUGACCGAUAGUGAACCAGUACCGUGAGGGAAAGGCGAAAAGAACCCCGGCGAGGGGAGUGAAAAAGAACCUGAAACCGUGUACGUACAAGCAGUGGGAGCCCCACCACUAAGCCAGUGGUGAACUCCACAUCCGCAUCCUUUGCUGAGGAUACGGUUAACGGAGCGAAAGCGACGUUCAACCGCAAAACAAGCAGAGGGGGCUUAGUGGUGGGGUGACUGCGUACCUUUUGUAUAAUGGGUCAGCGACUUAUAUUCUGUAGCAAGGUUAACCGAAUAGGGGAGCCGGAGGGAAACCGAGUCUUAAUUGGGCGUUAAGUUGCAGGGUAUAGACCCGAAACCCGGUGAUCUAGCCAUGGGCAGGUUGAAGGUUGGGUAACACUAACUGGAGGACCGAACCGACUAAUGUUGAAAAAUUAGCGGAUGACCUGUGGCUGGGGGUGAAAGGCCAAUCAAACCGGGAGAUAGCUGGUUCUCCCCGAAAGCUAUUUAGGUAGCGCCUCGUGAAUUCAUCUCCGGGGGUAGAGCACUGUUUCGGCUAGGGGGCCAUCCCGGCUUACCAACCCGAUGCAAACUGCGAAUACCGGAGAAUGUUAUCACGGGAGACACACGGCGGGUGCUAACGUCCGUCGUGAAGAGGGAAACAACCCAGACCGCCAGCUAAGGUCCCAAAGUCAUGGUUAAGUGGGAAACGAUGUGGGAAGGCCCAGACAGCCAGGAUGUUGGCUUAGAAGCAGCCAUCAUUUAAAGAAAGCGUAAUAGCUCACUGGUCGAGUCGGCCUGCGCGGAAGAUGUAACGGGGCUAAACCAUGCACCGAAGCUGCGGCAGCGAACGUAUCACCCAAGACAACUUUACGGAGUUGACGAUUGACGGAGCGAAGCGACGUCAAAGCGUAUACAAAGUCGAGUCGGUUUAAGGAUACGUUCGUUGGGUAGGGGAGCGUUCUGUAAGCCCGUGAAGGUGGCCUGUGAGGGUUGCUGGAGGUAUCAGAAGUGCGAAUGCUGACAUAAGUAACGAUAAAGCGGGUGAAAAGCCCGCUCGCCGGAAGACCAAGGGUUCCUGUCCAACGUUAAUCGGGGCAGGGUGAGUCGACCCCUAAGGCGAGGCCGAAAGGCGUAGUCGAUGGGAAACGGGUUAAUAUUCCCGUACUUGGUGUUACUGCGAAGGGGGGACGGAGAAGGCUAUGUUGGCCGGGCGACGGUUGUCCCGGUUUAAGCGUGUAGGUGUGUGUUCCAGGUAAAUCCGGUUCACUUUAACACUGAGGCGUGAUGACGAGGCACUACGGUGCUGAAGCAACAAAUGCCCUGCUUCCAGGAAAAGCCUCUAAGCAUCAGGUAACAUCAAAUCGUACCCCAAACCGACACAGGUGGUCAGGUAGAGAAUACCAAGGCGCUUGAGAGAACUCGGGUGAAGGAACUAGGCAAAAUGGUGCCGUAACUUCGGGAGAAGGCACGCUGACACGUAGGUGAAGUGAUUUACUCACGGAGCUGAAGUCAGUCGAAGAUACCAGCUGGCUGCAACUGUUUAUUAAAAACACAGCACUGUGCAAACACGAAAGUGGACGUAUACGGUGUGACGCCUGCCCGGUGCCGGAAGGUUAAUUGAUGGGGUCAGCGCAAGCGAAGCUCCUGAUCGAAGCCCCGGUAAACGGCGGCCGUAACUAUAACGGUCCUAAGGUAGCGAAAUUCCUUGUCGGGUAAGUUCCGACCUGCACGAAUGGCGUAAUGAUGGCCAGGCUGUCUCCACCCGAGACUCAGUGAAAUUGAACUCGCUGUGAAGAUGCAGUGUACCCGCGGCAAGACGGAAAGACCCCGUGAACCUUUACUAUAGCUUGACACUGAACAUUGAGCCUUGAUGUGUAGGAUAGGUGGGAGGCUUUGAAGUGUGGACGCCAGUCUGCAUGGAGCCGACCUUGAAAUACCACCCUUUAAUGUUUGAUGUUCUAACGUGGACCCGUAAUCCGGGUUGCGGACAGUGUCUGGUGGGUAGUUUGACUGGGGCGGUCUCCUCCUAAAGAGUAACGGAGGAGCACGAAGGUUGGCUAAUCCUGGUCGGACAUCAGGAGGUUAGUGCAAUGGCAUAAGCCAGCUUGACUGCGAGCGUGACGGCGCGAGCAGGUGCGAAAGCAGGUCAUAGUGAUCCGGUGGUUCUGAAUGGAAGGGCCAUCGCUCAACGGAUAAAAGGUACUCCGGGGAUAACAGGCUGAUACCGCCCAAGAGUUCAUAUCGACGGCGGUGUUUGGCACCUCGAUGUCGGCUCAUCACAUCCUGGGGCUGAAGUAGGUCCCAAGGGUAUGGCUGUUCGCCAUUUAAAGUGGUACGCGAGCUGGGUUUAGAACGUCGUGAGACAGUUCGGUCCCUAUCUGCCGUGGGCGCUGGAGAACUGAGGGGGGCUGCUCCUAGUACGAGAGGACCGGAGUGGACGCAUCACUGGUGUUCGGGUUGUCAUGCCAAUGGCACUGCCCGGUAGCUAAAUGCGGAAGAGAUAAGUGCUGAAAGCAUCUAAGCACGAAACUUGCCCCGAGAUGAGUUCUCCCUGAGACUUAGAGUCUCCUGAAGGAACGUUGAAGACGACGACGUUGAUAGGCCGGGUGUGUAAGCGCAGCGAUGCGUUGAGCUAACCGGUACUAAUGAACCGUGAGGCUUAACCUU